rnacentral:rRNA from 1 species
GACAGAGGUGCCAAGCGUUAGGCGGAAUCACUGGGCUUAAAGCGUGUGUAGGCGGACUGGUAAGUACCUUGUGAAAUCCCACGGCUUAACCGUGGAACUGCUCGGUAUACUGCCGGUCUUGAGCCACCUAGGGGCGAGCGGAACAAAUGGUGGAGCGGUGAAAUGCGUAGAUAUCAGGAGGAAUACCGAUGGCGAAGGCAGGUCUCUGGGCUGACACUGACGCUCAUGCACGAAAGCGUGGGGAGCAAACAGG